AUUCUACUCCCUCCGUUCCACAAUACAUGCCUUCUAUUUGUCAAAAUAUAGAUGUAUCUAGACAUGUUUUAGUAUAUAGGUACAUCCAAUUUUGGACAAAUGGAAGUCAAGUAUUUUGGAACGGAGGGAGUACACA
rnacentral:pre_miRNA from 1 species